GAUGAAGAACGUAGCGAAAUGCGAUAAGUAAUGUGAAUUGCAGAAUCCAGUGAAUCAUCGAAUCUUUGAACGCACAUUGCGCCCGCCAGCAUUCUGGCGGGCAUGCCUGUUCGAGCGUCAUUUCAACCCUCGACCUCCCUUUGGGGAAGUCGGCGUUGGGGACCGGCAGCACACCGCCGGCCCUGAAAUGGAGUGGCGGCCCGUCCGCGGCGACCUCUGCGUAGUAAACCAACUCGCGCCGGAACCCCGACGUGGCCACGCCGUAAAACACCCAACUUCUGAACGUUGACCUCGAAUCAGGUAGGACUACCCGCUGAACUUAAGCAUAUCAAUAAGCGGAGGA
rnacentral:misc_RNA from 1 species